rnacentral:rRNA from 1 species
AGCAGCCGCGGUAAUUCCAGCUCCAAUAGCGUAUAUUAAAGUUGUUGCAGUUAAAAAGCUCGUAGUUGAAUUUCGGGGUUAGUAGGUUGGUCAUGCCUCUGGUAUGUACUGGUCUCACUGAUUCCUCCUUCCUGAUGAACCGUAAUGCCAUUAAUUUGGUGUUGCGGGGAAUUUGGACUGUUACUUUGAAAAAAUUUAGAGUGUUUAAAGCAAGCUAACGCUUGAAUACAUUAGCAUGGAAUAAUGAAAUAGGACGUUCGAUCCUAUUUUGUUGGUUUCUAGGAUUGACGUAAUGAUUAAUAGGGAUAGUUGGGGGCAUUAGUAUUCAAUUGUCAGAGGUGAAAUUCUUGGAUUUAUUGAAGACUAACUACUGCGAAAGCAUUUGCCAAGGAUGUUUUCAUUAAUCAAGAACGAAAGUUAGGGGAUCGAAGACGAUCAGAUACCGUCGUAGUCUUAACCAUAAACUAUGCCGACUAGGGAUCGGAUGAUGUUAAUUUUUUAAUGACUCAUUCGGCGCCUU